rnacentral:rRNA from 1 species
UACAGAGGUCUCAAGCGUUUGUUCGGAUUCAUUGGGCGUAAAGGGUGCGUAGGCGGCGCGGUAAGUCGGGUGUGAAAUCUCGGGGCUUAACUCCGAAACUGCAUUCGAUACUGCCGUGCUUGAGGACUGGAGAGGAGACUGGAAUUCAUGGUGUAGCAGUGAAAUGCGUAGAGAUCAUGAGGAAGACCAGUGGCGAAGGCGGGUCUCUGGACAGUUCCUGACGCUGAGGCACGAAGGCCAGGGGAGCAAAACGGG